rnacentral:rRNA from 1 species
AUGAUUGGGGGAGGAGGGGGAGGGGCGCUGCGGCGGGUGGGCAAGUACGAGGUGGGGCGGACCAUCGGGGAGGGGACGUUCGCCAAGGUCAAGUUCGCGCAGAACACGGAGACAGGGGAGAGCGUCGCCAUGAAGGUGCUCGAUCGCUCCUCCAUCCUCAAGCACAAGAUGGUGGAUCAGAUCAAGAGAGAGAUAUCCAUAAUGAAGCUUGUGAGGCAUCCCAAUGUGGUCAGAUUACAUGAGGUUUUGGCGAGCCGAAAGAAGAUAUUUAUAAUCUUGGAGUUCAUCACUGGUGGUGAACUAUUUGACAAAAUUAUUCGUCAUGGGAGACUCAGUGAAGCGGAUGCACGUAAAUACUUUCAGCAGCUUAUUGAUGGUGUUGAUUUUUGCCACAGCAAAGGAGUCUACCAUCGAGAUCUAAAGCCUGAAAAUCUUCUCCUUGAUUCCCAAGGAAAUCUUAAAAUUUCAGACUUUGGACUCAGUGCAUGGCCUGCACAGGGAGCUGCCCUUCUACGCACUACCUGUGGAACCCCAAACUAUGUUGCCCCAGAGGUUCUUAGUCAUAAAGGAUAUGAUGGAGCACUUGCUGAUACAUGGUCAUGUGGAGUUAUUCUAUAUGUCCUGUUGGCAGGUUAUCUUCCCUUCGAUGAAGUAGAUUUGACUACCCUUUAUGGGAAGAUUGAGAGCGCAGAAUAUUCAUUCCCAGCUGUGUUUCCAAGUGGUGCUAAGUCACUGAUACGUAGAAUUCUGGAUCCUAGCCCAGAUACACGAAUCAGGAUAGAAGAGAUCAGAAAGGAUGAAUGGUUUAAGAAAAAUUAUGAACCUGUCAGGGAACUAGAAAAUGAAGAAGUCAAUCUCGAUGAUGUUAAUGCAGCUUUUGAUGAUCCUGAGGAGGACAAUCAACAUACUUUUGACGAUGAAGCAGGCCCUUUGACGCUCAAUGCAUUCGAUCUAAUUAUUCUAUCUCAAGGGUUGAACCUUUCGGCCCUAUUUGAUCGCCGACAGGACUAUGGCAAGCUUCAAAAUAGAUUUUUAUCACGCAAACCAGCAAAUGUUAUAUUGUCAAGUAUGGAGGUUGUUGCUCAAUCCAUGGGGUUUAAGACACAUAUUCGCAAUUAUAAGAUGAGGGUGGAAGGUCCAAAUGCGAACAAGACUAGCCAUCUCACAAUUAUGCUUCAAAUUUUUGAAGUUGCCCCAUCAAUCUUUAUGGUGGAAUUAGAGAGAUCUGCUGGAGAUACUUCAGAGUAUAAUAAGUUCGUAAACAACUACUGCUCCAAAUUAGAUGAUAUCAUCUGGAAAGUUUCUGCUGAGAAGGGAAAAUCUAGGACAUCCCGGCUAUCGAAGCGCUAA